rnacentral:lncRNA from 1 species
AAUUUUUUAUCAUAAGAAUUUUAUGAAAUUAAAGUGUCGAGAAUGGUUAAGAAUUUAGAAAAUAGAGUAUUAGAAUUUAUAGGUGUUUUAAAAUAAUAAGACAAAGUAUUUUAAUUUUAAAAAUAAUUCAAUAAUAUAAAUAGAAUUUCUUAAACUCGUCUCAUUACUUAAAACACAAAUCAUCUCUCUAACACUCUUCUUGUAAGUUCUCUCUCCCUUAAUCUUUAAGAAAUCUAACUCCUUGAUCCUUUGUUUAAUGAUCAAGAAGUGCCUAGG